AGUGAACGCUGGCGGUAGGCCUAACACAUGCAAGUCGAACGGCAGCACAGUAAGAGCUUGCUCUUACGGGUGGCGAGUGGCGGACGGGUGAGGAAUACAUCGGAAUCUACUUUUUCGUGGGGGAUAACGUAGGGAAACUUACGCUAAUACCGCAUACGACCUACGGGUGAAAGCAGGGGAUCUUCGGACCUUGCGCGAUUGAAUGAGCCGAUGCCGGAUUAGCUAGUUGGCGGGGUAAAGGCCCACCAAGGCGACGAUCCGUAGCUGAUCUGAGAGGAUGAUCGGCCACACUGGAACUGAGACACGGUCCAGACUCCUACGGGAGGCAGCAGUGGGGAAUAUUGGGCAAUGGGCGCAAGCCUGAUCCAGCCAUGCCGCGUGAGUGAAGAAGGCCUUCGGGUUGUAAAGCCCUUUUGUUGGGAAAGAAAAGCAGCAGGUUAAUACCCCGCUGUUCUGACGGUACCCAAAGAAAAAGCACCGGCUAACUUCGUG
rnacentral:rRNA from 1 species